rnacentral:rRNA from 1 species
UACGGGGGGGGCAAGCGUUGUUCGGAAUUACUGGGCGUAAAGGGUUUGUAGGUGGCCAACUAAGUCAGACGUGAAAUCCCUCAGCUUAACUGGGGAACUGCGUCUGAUACUGGUUGGCUUGAGUGCAGGAGAGGAACGCGGAAUUCCAGGUGUAGCGGUGAAAUGCGUAGAUAUCUGGAGGAACACCGGUGGCGAAGGCGGCGUUCUGGACUGUAACUGACACUGAUGAACGAAAGCCAGGGGAGCAAACGGG